UAGGGAAUCUUCGGCAAUGGACGGAAGUCUGACCGAGCAACGCCGCGUGAGUGAAGAAGGUUUUCGGAUCGUAAAGCUCUGUUGUUAGAGAAGAACGUUGGUAGGAGUGGAAAAUCUACUAAGUGACGGUAACUAACCAGAAAGGGACGGCUAACUACGUGCCAGCAGCCGCGGUAAUACGUAGGUCCUGAGCGUUGUCUGGAUUUAUUGGGCGUAAAGCGAGCGCAGGCGGUUCUUUAAGUCUGAAGUUAAAGGCAGUGGCUUAACCAUUGUACGCUUUGGAAACUGGAGUACUUGAGUGCAGAAGGGGAGAGUGGAAUUCCAUGUGUAGCGGUGAAAUGCGUAGAUAUAUGGAGGAACACCGGUGGCGAAAGCGGCUCUCUGGUCUGUAACUGACGCUGAGGCUCGAAAACGUGAGGAGCAAACAGG
rnacentral:rRNA from 1 species